CGGACGGGUGAGUAACGCGUGGGUAACCUACCCUGUACACACAGAUAACAUACCGAAAGGUAUGCUAAUACGGGAUAAUAUAUUUGAGAGGCAUCUCUUGAAUAUCAAAGGUGAGCCAGUACAGGAUGGACCCGCGUCUGAUUAGCUAGUUGGUAAGGUAACGGCUUACCAAGGCGACGAUCAGUAGCCGACCUGAGAGGGUGAUCGGCCACAUUGGAACUGAGACACGGUCCAA
rnacentral:rRNA from 1 species